UACGUAGGGGGCUAGCGUUGUCCGGAUUUAUUGGGCGUAAAGAGCGUGUAGGCGGCCAUACAGGUCCGUUGUGAAAACUGGAGGCUUAACCUCCAGACGUCGAUGGAAACCGUAUGGCUAGAGUCCGGAAGAGGAGAGUGGAAUUCCUGGUGUAGCGAUGAAAUGCGCAGAUAUCAGGAAGAACACCCGUGGCGAAGGCGGCUCUCUGGGACGGUACUGACGCUGAGACGCGAAAGCGUGGGGAGCGAACAGG
rnacentral:rRNA from 1 species